rnacentral:rRNA from 1 species
AAACUAACUAGGAUGCCUUCAGUAACGGCGAGCGAAGCAGGCAUAGCUCAAAUUUGUAAUCUGGCACCUUUGGUGUCCGAGUUGUAUUUUCUAGAAGCGAGUUUGGUGACAGCUCCUACCCAAGUCCGUUGGAACGCGGCGUCAUGGAGGGUGAGAAUCCCGUGAAUGGUAGGAUGUCUGCUGCUGUGUAAACCGCCUUCGAAGAGUCGAGUUGUUUGGGAAUGCAGCUCUAAUUGGGAGGUAAAUUUCUUCUAAAGCUAAAUAUUGGCCAGAGACCGAUAGCGAACAAGUAGAGUGAUCGAAAGAUGAAAAGAACUUUGAAAAGAGAGUUAAACAGUACGUGAAAUUGUUGAAAGGGAAGCGCUUGAGAUCAGACUUCCUGUCUGGACUGUCCUUGCUUAUGCUUGGGUCAACAGUCCAGGCGUGGAGGCCAGCAUCAGUUUUGACGGCCGGAUAAAGGCUUUGGAAAGGUAGCUCCCCUCGGGGAGUGUUAUAGUCCAGAGUGUAAUACGGCCAGUUGGGACUGAGGACCGCGGCUUUGCCUAGGAUGCUGGCGUAAUGGUCUUAAGCGAC